rnacentral:rRNA from 1 species
GACGAACGCUGGCGGCGUGCCUAAUACAUGCAAGUAGAACGCUGAAGGAGGAGCUUGCUUCUCUGGAUGAGUUGCGAACGGGUGAGUAACGCGUAGGUAACCUGCCUUGUAGCGGGGGAUAACUAUUGGAAACGAUAGCUAAUACCGCAUAAGAGUAGAUGUUGCAUUACAUUUGCUUAAAAGUUGCAAUUGCCUCACUACCAGAUGGACCUGCGUUGUAUUAGCUAGUUGGUGGGGUAACGGCUCACCAAGGCGACGAUACAUAGCCGACCUGAGAGGGUGAUCGGCCCCACUGGGAAUGAGAAACGGCCCAGACUCCUACGGGAGGCAGCAGUAGGGAAUCUUCGGCAAUGGACGGAAGUCUGACCGAGCAACGCCGCGUGAGGGAAGAAGGUUUUCGGAUCGUAAAGCUCUGUUGUAAGAGAAGAACGAGUGUGAGAGUGGAAAGUUCACACUGUGACGGUAUCUUACCAGAAAGCGACGGCUAACUACGUG